GACGAACGCUGGCGGCGUGCUUAACACAUGCAAGUCGAACGGAAAGGCCCUGCUUUUGUGGGGUGCUCGAGUGGCGAACGGGUGAGUAACACGUGAGUAACCUGCCCUUGACUUUGGGAUAACUUCAGGAAACUGGGGCUAAUACCGGAUAGGAGCUCCUGCUGCAUGGUGGGGGUUGGAAAGUUUCGGCGGUUGGGGCUGGACUCGCGGGUUAUCAGCUUGUUGGUGGGGUAGUGGCUUACCAAGGCUUUGACGGGUAGCCGGCCUUAGAGGGUGACCGGCCACAUUGGGACUGAGAUACGGACCAGACUCCAACGGGAGGCAGCAGUGGGGAAUAUUGCACAAUGGGCGGAAGCCUGAUGCAGCAACGCCGGGUGCGGAAUGACUGCCUUCGGGUUGUAAACCGCUUUCGCCUGUGACGAAGCGUGAGUGACGGUAAUGGGUAAAGAAGCACCGGCUAACUACGUG
rnacentral:rRNA from 1 species